rnacentral:lncRNA from 14 species
GGGAAGAGUCUUGGGUAAAUGACCAGUGAGAGGAGAAGUUUGGAGGGCUCGUGAAUCUUCCCUCAUUCCUGUUUAAGCAUGAAAAAGUGAAGGACAGAAAAGAAGGGAUGGGAGUAGUUUCAUAUUUAUUUGUGGCUUUCAUUGGGUUUAUCUCCCUGCCAGCACAGGACGUGGUUUCUCCAAGAGGGAGCACCAGAAAUAGAACUGACGUUACAUCUAAUGAGCUUUUUGGUGGCAUAUUCAUUAAGCUUGUAGAAAGGGUAAAGAAAUGCAGGAAGCUUAGUCUUGGAAAGCCUCCAACUGGACCCCUUUGACUCAUUAAAGGAGGGAGUAAAAUGAACCAUGCCCCAGGGCAAUCAUAAAAGGAUAAGCAGGAAAGCAGGAAAGGGUCAAUUCAUUAAGGACUGGGGGACCCCGCAGGAUGGGGCCACGGGAUGGCUGGGGCGUGCUGGAGCCCUGUGGCAGGGAUGUCUGCUCUCCCAUGGCAUGCUGGUGGAGCUACUGGUGCUUUGUCCUGGCUGAGCCCCAAAAGGCAGCAGGCACCUGAAGGGACCUUGGAAAACUGCUGCCUACCCUGGAGAUUGCCUUUAUUCUCCCUACAGCAAUCUCUCUCCUACACAACCCUCUGCCAAAAAGAGUACACAGAAGGUGCUGUGCAGGGACCAAGCAUGGAAAAUUUCAGCUGCUGGAGUGGAUGGUUUAUAAAGUGAACAGCCAUGUGAAGCCAGAGGGACUCUCCUGAUGGAGCCAGUCACAACGGGCAGUUGUGCAGCCUCCUCCUCCUUAGAGGAGUGAACCUGCUGCAUCCAUCUUCUGCCUGCCUCCCCCAGCUGCUGCCCGACCCCCUGGAUCUGCUGCUGGGGCUCCCUCGGUGGCUGUCACACCUGCUCUGUCCUCCCUUCGGGAAGCUGCCAGAGAGAGCAGACAAAGGAAGAGCAGCACAGCUGGAGCUGCUGGAAGCUGUACGCUACCCGCCACUGUUGUUGCACUCACCCAACACCCCACUUCCGUAGGAAACGUCUUUCCUGCUGCCCUCUGAGUUCGGCUCUUCCCUGUGUUUGUCACUUGCCGUCGUUUUUAAGGCAUUACUGCAGAAUUCCGUUGUGGAUUUUAGUAUUAUUACUGCUGUUUCUGGCUGGUUUAGCCACUGCACACCAUACAUCUUCAUUGCUGGCUAUGCGCAUGAAACGCAAACACUUGUGUGGCCUGCCUUGAUGCCCACGCUAGGUUGAAUGACCCUGGACAGAAAAGGCCUCCUGGAGCACAUGGAUACCAGAGCAGCAGAGAAGGGGUUAAUGAAGGGUUUAAUACCAAGAGGCCACACAGCAAAGCUCAAGUUAGGGCCAGCAGCACCCCUCCCCCUGGCCUCCAUCCUGCAGCAGGAGCCCUGGCAAUGCUGCAGCACUCAAGUGCUGCUUUCCCCCUGAGCUCCUGCCCCACUUGUGUGAUGUAAAGCAAUCCUUUUGUUUCCUCUUUAAGACAUUAGCCUCAGGGGCCAUUACAGGGAAGAAAGGUAGCUGGGGUUCUUUUAUCUGAAGAAAUCCAUUAGAAGUGGGGGGGAGGGAUCCUUUCCUUCCUCAGUGCCCAGGGAGCAGU